UUCCCUGAGUGAUAGCUUAGUUGGUAGAACAUGAGAUUCUUAAUCUCAGGGUCCUGGGUUUGAGCCCCAUGCUGGGUGAAA